UACCAGCACCCCGAGUGGUCGGGACGUUUAUUGGGCGUAAAGAGCGUGUAGGCGGCCAGGUAGGUCUGGUGUGAAAACUCGAGGCUUAACCUCGAGAUGUCAUCGGAAACCAUCUGGCUAGAGUCCGGAAGAGGAGAGUGGAAUUCCUGGUGUAGCGGUGAAAUGCGCAGAUAUCAGGAAGAACACCAAUGGCGAAAGCAGCUCUCUGGGACGGUACUGACGCUGAGACGCGAAAGCGUGGGGAGCGAACAGG
rnacentral:rRNA from 1 species